AUAUGUGUAUGUUUUUUAGUGUGUUUUGUGUGUGUGUGUGUGUGCGCAUAUAUAUGUUUGCAUACAGUUUAAACUUUAAUAGCUACAAUGGGUAUUAUUUGAAUGACAAUAAAAUUUUUAAAUAACUAUCAACUACAGCAGAAUAACAAAUUAAUAAUUAAAA